AGGAAAAAAAACAACCCCCAGCUCGUCCCGCCCUGUCCCUCCAGGCUGCGCAACGCUGGAGGGCGAUGGGAGCGCCAGACAGAUCUCGACUCCAUGUACUUUACCUUUCCCUGCACCUCUGCUUGUCUGAGAGGUCUCAAGAUCAUCAUUUGGGACCUCCACUUCUGCUGGGUCUGUCAUCUUAGACCGCCUUGAUCUUCAGCAUCUUUGUGAAGUUGAACAGGGGAAUGAGCCUUAUUAUAGGUAUUUCUGGAUAAUACUUUAUAUAUUUAAGCCAUAAUGUAAGGAGUAACUGUGGGCCAUAUUUACUAAACAUUUGAUAUAUGUUAGGUGCUAUUUGGCGUUUUAAGUAUAUUGUCUUAUCUAAUCCUCAUCUGACCCUGUGAGGUAGGUUCUGGUGUGUUUACUGCGUGGAUGAGGGAGCUGACACUUAAAAUUCUAAUCGCUUGUCAAGGUCAAGGUCAUUCAACAGGAUCAGAAUCAGGACAUAACCCCUGGUCCCUCUGGGUCCAAAGCUUGUAGUCUCAAGUACUGUGUCAUCCUAAGCACCAUUGAUGAUGACUCAUUUCAGGCUGGCUUAAGGGAUAAGCUUUCACCAAUUUGUUCUUAUAAAUAUUUACUGUUUUCAAACCAUGUGUUAGACAUUGUGGGAGUACAGAGUUGAAUGAAACACAGUCCUUGCUUCUAAGGAAUGUACAUCUAGUUGGGGAGAUAAACUUGCAGUGUGACAGUAUGAGUUGGGUGCGUUCGGUCUGAUCAGACAGCAAAGCUCUUUCCUUGUUGCCUUGCUGAGUGAUAAGCAAAUCUGCUCCCCAACUUCUGCUCCCUCAGCCUGUAAAGAGAAGUGUUCUCUGCCAGGGGUUCCGUGUUUUUCAGGAACUUAGCAAUGU